rnacentral:rRNA from 1 species
GAUGAACGCUGGCGGCGUGCCUAAUACAUGCAAGUCGAGCGAACAGACGAGGAGCUUGCUCCUCUGACGUUAGCGGCGGACGGGUGAGUAACACGUGGAUAACCUACCUAUAAGACUGGGAUAACUUCGGGAAACCGGAGCUAAUACCGGAUAAUAUAUUGAACCGCAUGGUUCAAUAGUGAAAGACGGUUUUGCUGUCACUUAUAGAUUGAUCCGCGCCGCAUUCGCUAGUUGGUAAGGUAACGGCUUACCAAGGCAACGAUGCGUAGCCGACCUGAGAGGGUGAUCGGCCACACGGGAACUGAGACACGGUCCAGACUCCGAAGGGAGGCAGCAGUAGGGAAUCUUCCGCAAUGGGCGAAAGCCUGACGGAGCAAAGCCGCGUGAGGGAAGAAGGUCUUCGGAUCGUAAAACUCUGUUAUUAGGGAAGAACAAAUGUGUAAGUAACUAUGCACGUCUUGACGGUACCUAAUCAGAAAGCCACGGCUAACUACGUG